GAAUGGUGUUGACCAUUCUUUCGUGUGC
rnacentral:piRNA from 1 species